UACGUAGGGACCUAGCGUUGUCCGGAAUCAUUGGGCGUAAAGCGCGUGUAGGUGGGAGUGCAAGUCCGGUGGGAAAGCCCGCGGCUCAACCGCGGAAGUUCGCUGGAAACUGUGCUUCUUGAGGGUGAUAGAGGGAAGUGGAAUUGCUGGUGUAGCGGUGAAAUGCGUAGAUAUCAGCAGGAACACCCGUGGCGAAGGCGGCUUCCUGGAUCACCCCUGACGCUGAGACGCGAAAGCGUGGGGAGCGAACGGG
rnacentral:rRNA from 1 species